rnacentral:lncRNA from 1 species
GAAGUCGCACACCUCCAUCUCAGGGAUGAUGUUGGAGAUACCAGAGAGCUUGGUCAUCUCCUUGGCACAGGAGACGUGGCCAUCAGCAGAAGUCUUGAAGAAGACAGAGGCCUUCUUCUUGUCAAGCCCAGUCAUGCACAUCUCCAGGGUGACCAUGGGCUGCUCGGGUUGCUCAGUGGCAUAGUAGAUGUGCCACUUCUGGCCAGGCUUCGCUGGGUCGCCAAUCACAUAGGCAUUGCCACCAGACUUCAGGUGGCCGAAGUAGCGGUUCAGGACAUCAACCUCCUCAGAGAAGCUCCUGUGGGGAGCAGGCUGUGCGCCGGGGAAGAUGAACAUCCCACGGGAGUACUUCACGGCAGCAAGCGGCAUGCACAGCUCCUCAGCUAGCUCAAGAAUCCUUGGAAUGGUGAGCAGAAGCAUGGUAGUCCCACAGGUCUUGAUCACAAUCUUCUGAGAGUAGAUAAACAGGCUCGACUCAGAUAGCACAUACGAGUCAAAGUCCUUGUUGGAGAGCUCGGACACAAUGGUGCACCGUGCAAGAUCAAGAACAGAGUCAAUCUGGGCCCUAGAGAGGGCGCGCAGGCCACGACCAUGAGGGUCAGCAAAGAUUGAUGCCUCGUUGAAGGUGAUCUCGAGGCGCUUCUCGUAGCCCUCAAACCCGAUCGCAGAGGUCGGGGCGGCCAUUGUUGCAGUUUGAGUCAGAAAGCAGAGCAGAGAGGAACAGAGGGAGAGAGACUAGAGAACUGGUCGAUUAUCGUGAAGCAGCAAGCCAG